CUCCCCCUCUCGUCCCCGCCCGCGACCCUGGGCGAGUCACGUCUGUGCCUCGGUUGCCCUACGGGUAAAGCGGGAUUAGUAAGCGUACCUACUUCAUCUGCCCUCGUGAGGUUGCGGCGAGGAUGGAGUUAACUUGCCUAAAGGGCUUGAUGAAUCCUGGCGAGUGGGCCGUGUUCGCUAAAGGUUGCCUUUUCCUAGCUUGUGGUACCGAGGGUACAGCGGUCCGCUGUCCGCCCCGGGUAGAGUGUGGGGGGGGGAUCAAAGGACCCAGACCAUGGUCUCUAGACCUGCCGCCUACCAUGUGGUCUUGACUUCGCUGAGGCAGCUUUCCUCACCUGCUCCACACGCUUGCAGGAGGGGCGCGGAGCCAGAGGCGCUGAACGCUCUAGAAGGAACAGGCAGGGGCACCGGUGAGAUGCUGGCAGGUGCUGCAAGAAGCCAGUGUGUUUUCACGGCGGACGGACACCAGCACACAUCCACGCCUCCUGCACCGCACUGUGUGGCCCAUCCCCGAUGAUGGCCCAGCUCAGUAACAGAAAGCAGGGCCCCUCUGGGCACUGGGCUCUAAGGAGAUGUCAGAACUGGUCUGGAGGGGAGAGAGGGGAGGGGAGAAGGUCUCCCUGGAACCGCCCUUUGGGGGGGUUGGGGGUUCAUUUCCUUCUCCUGUAAUGGCUGUGCAUGGAUAGCCCCAGGCACCUCCAUCAGGGUGUUCCCAUCUGGUCCCAAACCCAGCUGGCUCCUCUCGCACCCCAUUCUGCUCACACAGAGACUAUGGCUCAAGCCAUUUGUCCGGGGCGUGUUCCAGAAGGAGCAGAGCCCCCGAUGUCAAGCAGGACAGUGGAGCGCUUGCAGACAUUCAGGAAAGACCAGGAACAACCAGGAAUGACCAGACCUUCCAUCCUCUGUGGACACCCUCCCAGGUGGUGAUUCAGGAAUAAAGGAACUGCAAACAGUG